CUUGAAAUAUAUAUUUUACCAAAUUUCAAACAAAAACGGCUCUUCUUGUUGUUUUGGUUGUCGACCCCUGCUGUGGACACACCAGCUCCUAAAUCGCCUACCCAUUCCCCACUCCCGUGCUCCCCGUGCUCCCCCCCAGGUGAGACGGAGCUGCAGGUGGGAGUCCUCCCCGUGGGGGACCAGGGGCUGAACGUGAGCUUCGCACGUGGGCCUCAUUCUGCGCCACGGCGAGGGCGCUGGGUGGUGCGGGCAUGCCAGCGGAGUGCCACGGGCGCCUGCUCCUGGGAGCUGGAGCAGCUCAGCGUGGACGAGGGCGAGGAGGAGGGGGAGGAGUGGGGUGCCGUGCUGACACAAGUGCCCAGGCUGCCCUGCGUGUGUGUGCAGGUGUUCUUACUGGCACACGCCCAGGAGCGAGUGCAGGUGUGCCCCUUCAUGGACACCACCCUGCAGCUGCGUGUGUGGCUAUCGGGACCAGAGGGGGGCGCGCUGCACGCGCGCGUGGCCGUGGAGCCGGCCGGCUGUGCUCUGCUCGUUCUCGCGUCGCUCUACGCGCGGGGCACGCCGGAGGAGGGCAGCGCGCGCACGGCGCUCGCCAACACACUGGAGCUCAGCGUCGAGGUGCACGCACAGACUCACUCGUACCAGCUGCUCACUCUUACAGCGGCUCACCUGUUCAGUGACUCACUCGUACACUGGCUCACUCGUACACCCGCUCACUCGUACACUCACUCACUCAUACUCCGGCUCACUCGUGCACUCACUCACUUAUACAUUCACGCGUACACUCACGCGUACACUCACUCGUUUAUACACUCACUUCUACACUCACUCACUCUUACCCUCGCUCACUUGUACACCGACUCACUCGUACACUGGCACGCUCACUC